CGUCCGUGAUGUUGAGUGUCUCCUCCUCCUCUGAAGGGCUCGGCUCGGCGUCCAUCUCUGUGACCUCCUCGUCGGGCGCCACUUUGCGCUCUUUCGUCUUGCAGCACGCCAUGGCCCCCUGGGACUAAAAUACACGAGGGUGAGCAACUUGGAUACCAUAAAAAGAAUCCCACCCUCUCUGGCAGCGAUCUGGCCGGGCUGACGUUGAACAUCUUGGACAUGUCUUCAGAGUUGCGUUGCUGCGCCACAUCGCACAGUUUGGCCGUGAUGUCGAUGCGUCUGCAGAUGUCCAUGUCCACCCGUCUGGCUUUCUCCUGAAUCUUGGAGUCCAGGUUUUCCACCGCAGACUCCAGCUGCUCGCGUUUGGACAGCUCCUCCUCCCAUCUGCAACACAACACAACAAAACACAAAGGAAUACUGUUUGGUGAAGAAGCAGACCUCCUACUCACAAAGUAUGAAAGUAGAAAGUAGAAUGCACCUCAUGUGUAAACAGUGAGUACC